rnacentral:lncRNA from 1 species
CCCAUUUAUUUUGUCAAUUUUCAUCAACUUUCUCCUGACUUUUUUUUUAUUUUUAUUUUUAUUUUGAAAAAAGUUGUAGUGAUCUAAACCUCAGACCUAAGCUCUGAUUUCAGCUAAAGAACACCAAAACGAAGAGAGAGAAAGAAAGAUAAAGCAAUGACACAGAAUUUUGUUAAUUUCCGGUGAGGAUAGGAUAGCUACUCUCUGGGGCUCAACAGCACGAGCAAGGAAUAAUCCACUAGAAUAUGAUCGAUACAAGAGAUUCACACCGAGAUCACGAAGAAUAAGCCUCUUCG